AAUAAGGGAGCAAUGAGAAGAAGU
rnacentral:piRNA from 1 species